rnacentral:rRNA from 1 species
AGGACGAACGCUGGCGGCAUGCUUAACACAUGCAAGUCGAGCGGAAAGGCCCUUCGGGGUACUCGAGCGGCGAACGGGUGAGUAACACGUGAGUAAUCUGCCCCUAGCUCUGGGAUAGCUCCGGGAAACCGGGAUUAAUACCGGAUACGACCACCUUAGACAUCUUUUGUGGUGGAAAGAAUUUCGGCUAGGGAUGAGCUCGCGGCCUAUCAGCUUGUUGGUGGGGUAACGGCCUACCAAGGCGACGACGGGUA